rnacentral:rRNA from 1 species
UACAGAGGUGGCAAGCGUUGUUCGGAAUUACUGGGCGUAAAGGGCGCGUAGGCGGCCUUCUCAGUCAGACGUGAAAUCCCCGGGCUUAACUCGGGAACUGCCUUUGAUACUGGCAAUCUGGAGAUCGGGAGAGGUGAGUGGAAUUCCGAGUGUAGAGGUGAAAUUCGUAGAUAUUCGCAAGAACACCGGUGGCGAAGGCGGCAUCCUGGACCGGUAUUGACGCUGAGGCGCGAAAGCCAGGGGAGCAAACGGG